UUUUUAUUAUAUAAAUGACGGAUAUUCAAAUUAAACGUAAAAUCGGGUCGAAUUAGAACUGCAAUUCGAAACCAAAGAGUGGUUUUAAUGAUUCGAAACAACUUCCGGUUUGAUGUGAAUGGGCUGAUCUUUGAUCCAACAGAUGAAAAGUUGCCGAUUUGAAGAUUCCUUUCCAUAAAAAGUACAUUGCACCCGAGUGCACCCAACCUGGCAAAAAAACGACUGGUAGAAAGAAAAAGAAUACAGCAAAACAGAACAAUGACUUUGUCUCAGAAGCAAACAUUGAACCAUCAGCAGAACAAACACCCUGUACUAGAAGUAGAAGAGGUAGGCCAAGAUUGGUGAAAUUCCUAGACAAAAGAAUAGAACACAAAUGGAUUGUAGACAAUACAUCUGAAUGGUAUAAAGGGACAGUGCUGAGUGUAAAAUCAGGAAAGGAUGGUGUGAAAGGUGCAAUUUACGAAGUCCUAUAUGACAGUGAUGACAACCCAUAUGAAAUAAAUCAUCUGGUUGAAGAUUAUCGAUCUGAAUCUGUACGGUUCAUUGAUGUAUAGUGCAAUUUAAAUCAGCUUGUCAAGAGUUGCAUGUUGAUGCUUCCACUGCUUCACUCUGCAAAUCCCAACUUGGGUUAUCCUUCCAGGGUAAAGUUUGGAGAACCUUUUUGAGGUUUAUCAAGAGUUGCAUAUUGAUACUUUCACUGCUACAUGCCGCAAAUACAAGUAGUUAAACUAUACUACCUUGAUAAAGUUUGGAGAACCUAAACAAAGUUUACAGAAGGAAUAUUGACGGUCAGUUAUGGACUUACAAAAAUUCUACACUUUUUGAAAGAAUUGGAACUUCAGAGACUGGACAUUUUUUCCUGGAGAUAUUCAGAACUUUAAAACAUUCAUUAAAAGAUACUAUGCAAUGUUCUGAUUCUAUUGAUAUGUAAUUUGCCACAGUUUCAUCCUUAUAUUCGUGUGAAUAAUGUCAAACAAAUACAUGCUAAUUUGACUUAGACGGAACCU